GCUGCAGCCACUUUUGUGCUGCUCGUCUUAGAAACUACAGGUAUGCGGUCGAGACCUGGAUGUCAUGUUGACUUUGUAUUUGGUCAUGACAUUGUACCUGAAUCUAAGUCAAGUUGACCUCCGGUAGAAUUAGUCGAACUGCACAAAUUAGAAAUUAGUGAUAUAAAGGAAAUUGUAUAACGCAUUGACCACUAUUCUACCAACUAAAAUGUAAAGUUUGUGUGCUAGCUGUGUUGAGAUAUCGUCACUUGGUGUAAGUGGCAUGAGUUGCUGUCGCUCGAUUUAGGUGGCAGUAACGACUGUGUUGGGAUAUCGUCACUUGGUGUAAGUGGCAUGAGUUGCUGUCGCUCGAUUUAGGUGGCAGCAACGACUGUGUUGAGAUAUCGUCACUUGGUGUAAGUGGCAUGAGUUGCUGUCGCUCGAUUUAGGUGGCAGUAACGACUGUGUUGGGAUAUCGUCACUUGGUGUAAGUGGCAUGAGUUGCUGUCGCUCGAUUUAGGUGGCAGCAACGACUGUGUUGAGAUAUCGUCACUUGGUGUAAGUGGCAUGAGUUGCUGUCGCUCGGUUUAGGUGGCAGCAACGACUGUGUUGAGAUAUCGUCACUUGGUGUAAGUGGCAUGAGUUGCUACCGCUCGAUUUAGGUGGUAGUGACGCCUGGUUGUGAGAUAUCGUCACUCAGUAGAGUGGCAUGAGUUGCUACCGCUCGAUUUAGGUGGUAGUGACGCCUGGUUGUGAGAUAUCGUCACUCAGUAGAGUGGCAUGAGUUGCUACCGCUCGAUUUAGGUGGUAGUGACGCCUGGUUUUGAGAUAUCGUCGCUCAGUAGAGUGGCAUGAGUUACUAUCGCUCGUUUAGGUGAUAGUAACGACCGAUGUGUAAAGAGUAAUUGGAUUUUCAAGUUUGGUUGUUUAUAGUGUGUGAAUACUGGUCAAUGGUCCGUGUAUUGUUAGUUGAUGAUUUAUCAUGAUGUAAUGUGAGCUCAUGUAGAGUCACAAGUAGAGCUCGUGUAGAGUCACAAGUAGAGCUCGUGUAGAGUCACAAGUAGAGCUCGUGUAGAGUCACAAGUAGAGCUCGUGUAGAGUCACAAGUAGAGCUCGUGUAGAGUCACAAGUAGAGCUCGUGUAGAGUCACAAGUAGAGCUCGUGUAGAGUCACAAGUAGAGCUCGUGUAGAGUCACAAGUAGAGCUCAUGUAGAGUCCUUUAUAGAGUCUCAUGUUAGGUCAGGAAUGACCGAGCGAACUUGGAUACUGUGCUGUGGUAUAUUGUUUCAGAUUAACACACGAGGACGUGUGUCACGCAGGAUGGCCGUGUCGGAGUUGGUUAUGAAUUAAGAAGAGAAAUGGAUCAAAUCGGAAAAUAAAAUGAAGUUACAUCACUUCCGUCAUGAAGUUGCAACGCUCCGACGAAAGGUGGCGUACGAGCAGAGCGGAGUGAAGUCGGGGGAGUCACUACAGAGUCGUCGUGUCGAGCGGACGUGUACUGCCGUUCUAGUCGGGCAGUCUACCGCGAACCUUCGUCGUGAACGGACGUGUCGAAUAAUUACGAUCGGAACGUGGAGUGCUAUAGUCGCUCACCUAUAACUUGUAGGGACGUCAAGAAAGUGUGAUCGGAAAAGAGUACCUAGCAAGUACGUUCACAUGUCCCGAUGAUUCGGUCCGAAUAUAGGAACCAUGGGUGGUGGAGGGCAAGUAGAGGGCGAGUAGCCCCUUCGCGCUAACGUCCUUAUGCGCCCUAGAUAACGAGAGACUGUGUAACCAUUACGAAUACCGUGACGUUGCCGUGAGUGUGUAUCUUAUUCUGUGACUUUAUCUAAUCGUGAUACAAGAACUAUGUGGAAGUAAAUAAAAUGAUUGUGAUACUA